AGAGUUUGAUCCUGGCUCAGGAUGAACGCUAGCGGCAGGCUUAAUACAUGCAAGUCGAGGGGCAGCAUGACUGUAGCAAUACAGUUGAUGGCGACCGGCAAACGGGUGCGGAACACGUACACAACCUUCCUUUAAGCGGGGAAUAGCCCGGGGAAACCCGGAUUAAUACCCCAUAGUAUAUUGAAGAGGCAUCUCUUUACUAUUAAAGAUUUAUCACUUGAAGAUGGGUGUGCGGCUGAUUAGCUAGUUGGCGGGGUAACGGCCCACCAAGGCAACGAUCAGUAACUGGUGUGAGAGCACGACCAGUCACACGGGCACUGAGACACGGGCCCGACUCCUACGGGAGGCAGCAGUAAGGAAUAUUGGUCAAUGGACGCAAGUCUGAACCAGCCAUGCCGCGUGGAGGAUGAAGGUCCUCUGGAUUGUAAACUUCUUUUAUCUGGGACGAAAAAAGGUCUUUCUAGAUCAACUGACGGUACCAGAUGAAUAAGCACCGGCUAACUCCGUGCCAGCAGCCGCGGUAAUACGGAGGGUGCAAGCGUUAUCCGGAUUCACUGGGUUUAAAGGGUGCGUAGGUGGAUUAGUAAGUCAGUGGUGAAAUCUCCGGGCUUAACCCGGAAACUGCCAUUGAUACUAUUAGUCUUGAAUACCGUGGAGGUCAGCGGAAUAUGUCAUGUAGCGGUGAAAUGCUUAGAUAUGACAUAGAACACCAAUUGCGAAGGCAGCUGGCUACACGAGCAUUGACACUCAGGCACGAAAGCGUGGGGAUCAAACAGGAUUAGAUACCCUGGUAGUCCACGCCCUAAACUAUGGAUACUCGACAUACGCGAUACACAGUGUGUGUCUGAGCGAAAGCAUUAAGUAUCCCACCUGGGAAGUACGAUCGCAAGAUUGAAACUCAAAGGAAUUGACGG
rnacentral:rRNA from 1 species